rnacentral:rRNA from 1 species
CACUUAGAUGUCCGGGGCUGCACGCGCGCUACACUGAAGGAAUCAGCGUGCUAAAACCAUUGUCGAAAGGCAUUGGUAAACCCAUUAAAAUCCUACGUGAUUGGGAUCGGGAAUUGCAAUUAUUUCCCUUGAACGAGGAAUUCCCAGUAAGUGUGGGUCAUAAGCUCGCGUUGAUUACGUCCCUGCCCUUUGUACACACCGCCCGUCGCUGCCCGGGACUGAGCCGUUUCGAGAAAAGCGGGGACUGCUGCUGUCGGGGCUUUCGGGCCUUGGCUUCGGUGGAAACCGCUUUAAUCGCAGUGGCUUGAACCGGGCAAAAGUCGUANCA